rnacentral:rRNA from 1 species
GAUGAACGCUGGCGGCGUGCCUAAUACAUGCAAGUCGAGCGAACAGACGAGGAGCUUGCUCCUCUGACGUUAGCGGCGGACGGGUGAGUAACACGUGGAUAACCUACCUAUAAGACUGGGAUAACUUCGGGAAACCGGAGCUAAUACCGGAUAAUAUAUUGAACCGCAUGGUUCAAUAGUGAAAGACGGUUUUGCUGUCACUUAUAGAUGGAUCCGCGCCGCAUUAGCUAGUUGGUAAGGUAACGGCUUACCAAGGCAACGAUGCGUAGCCGACCUGAGAGGGUGAUCGGCCACACUGGAACGGAGACACGGUCCAGACUCCUACGGGAGGCAGCAGUCGGGAAUCUUCCGCAAUGGGCGAAAGCCUGACGGAGCAACGCCGCGUGAGUGAUGAAGGUCUUCGGAUCGUAAAACUCUGUUAUUAGGGAAGAACAAAUGUGUAAGUAACUAUGCACGUCUUGACGGUACCUAAUCAGAAAGCCACGGCUAACUACGUG